UACGUAGGGUGCAAGCGUUAAUCGGAAUUACUGGGCGUAAAGCGUGCACAGGCGGUGAUGUAAGACAGAUGUGAAAUCCCCGGGCUCAACCUGGGAACUGCAUUUGUGACUGCAUCGCUGGAGUGCGGCAGAGGGGGAUGGAAUUCCGCGUGUAGCAGUGAAAUGCGUAGAUAUGCGGAGGAACACCGAUGGCGAAGGCAAUCCCCUGGGCCUGCACUGACGCUCAUGCACGAAAGCGUGGGGAGCAAACAGG
rnacentral:rRNA from 1 species